GACGGGGCUGCCUUGAACUAGCAUGAAUGAAGAGCUCAGGAGGAUGCUGAAGGACUGGAAGUAGAUGGAUUAAAUGCAACCUGCUCGGCACAGGUGAGGUAUUCAUGGGGCCCAGCAUCCUCUCUAUUCAAACCCAGCAAGUCAAGGUAAUAUAGAUAAUGGGAGACAAAGUUGUUCAUGGCAUCUAUAUCACCCUGGCCGCAAACUUGAUCCCCGUAGAGAACAUUCAUUGUCGUGCCAAAACCAGGAACCCGCUUAGAAAGGGUAUCAUUCUUGGUGGGCUUCCAUUCGCCAAGAAAGGCUUCAUGGGCUGAAGGCUG
rnacentral:lncRNA from 1 species